rnacentral:rRNA from 1 species
UGGUAUCUUCGUUGCAGAGUCAUUCUUACUAAAGAUAACCUUAUUAAGAGGAAUUGGCAUGGAAGCCCGCAAUGUGUUUUUUGUCACCAUGAUGAGACAAUAAAACAUUUAUUCUUCCAAUGCAAAUUGGCUCAUUCUAUAUGGUUAGUCAUCUAG